AUUGAACGCUGGCGGCAUGCUUUACACAUGCAAGUCGAACGGCAGCACGGGGGCAACCCUGGUGGCGAGUGGCGAACGGGUGAGUAACACAUCGGAACGUGCCCAGUUGUGGGGGAUAACCUAUCGAAAGGUAGGCUAAUACCGCAUGAGCUCGGCGAGAGGAAAGCGGGGGACCCAGCGAUGGGCCUCGCGCGACUGGAGCGGCCGAUGUCCGAUUAGCUAGNGGUGGGGUAAAGGCUUACCAAGGCGACGAUCGGUAGCUGGUCUGAGAGGAUGAUCAGCCACACUGGGACUGAGACACGGCCCAGACUCCUACGGGAGGCAGCAGUGGGAAUUUUGGACAAUGGGGCAACCCUGAUCCAGCCAUGCCGCGUGAGUGAAGAA
rnacentral:rRNA from 1 species